rnacentral:miRNA from 1 species
GUCCAAGUAAUUGACGAUUUGGUUGUUAACUUCGGCAGUGAUCUUAAAGCCAAGUUUGUGAAAGCCAAGUUUGUGAUCACUGCCGAAGUUAACAACCAAAUCGUCAAUUACUUGGAC